rnacentral:lncRNA from 1 species
UGCACCGGGGAUGCAGCGGAGACGGCGCACAUGCACGGGGGGCUGUACGGCGGGGGACAGCAGGGACCUGCCGGGGCAGCUGCGGGGUGGGGACAGGCAAGCCCAGCCCCGCGCCCACCUUUGGGCGUUGCCGGCGUCUCUUCGCCCAGGACGCGGGCACCCUGCUCGCCCCGCGGCGUGGAGGCCGGGCUGGACUCGCAGGGGCUGCAGCCCGCCGCCGAGGCCUUGCGGUAGGCGUCCGACUGGCUGCCUGCGGACAGGGAGACAUGGCUUGGGGGGGCUGUGGGCUGCCGGCGUGGGGCAGGGGACCCGGCACCCCUGGGCCAACCGCGCUCCUGCCCCCCCCGUGCCAGCCCCGGCCGCGAGCAGUCAGACGCUCACCGCCAUGUACCCAUCACCGCACUGUCCCCCUCCUGCGGCGGUGGGGCAGAGGUGCCCCUCGGCAGCCCCGCAGCCCGAGCCCCCCACGUGGGGGAGACGGGCAGCCCCAUCCCAGGGUGCCAUGCACCGCCCUCCCCRCAAUGGCCCUCCUCUGCCCUACGGGCACGGCCUCGAGGUCCCACCUCUGCCCCACGGGCAUGGACCCCCAUGGCCCGGGCAUGGCCUCAGUGUCCCUCCUCCGCCCCAUGGGCACAGCUGCGCACGGCCCUGGGCAUGGCCUCAGUGUCCCUCCUCUGCCCCAUGGGCCCAGCCCCACACAGUCCCAGGCACAACCUGCCUGUCCCCCCCUGCCCCAUGGGCACAGCCUGCCCCAUCCCCAUCUGCCCCAUGGGCACAGCCUGCCCCGUGCCCCCCCUAUGCUAUGGCACAGCCUGCCCCAUCUCUUUCUGCCCCGGGGCACAGCCUGCCCUGUGUCCCCCUCUGCCAUGGGCACAGCCUGCCCCAUCCCCAUCUGCCUCAAGAGCUCAGCCUGCCCCAUCUCCAUGUGUCCUGGGGGCACAGCCUGCCCCGUCCCCAUGGGCACAGCCUGCCCCCUCUCCGUCCACCCCAGGGGCACAGCCUGCCCUGUGCCCCCCCCCUAUGUCAUGGGCACAGCCUGCCCCAUCUCCUUCUGCCCCAUGAGCACAGCCUGCCCCAUCCCCAUCUGCCCCAGGGGCACAGCCUGCCCCAUCCCCAUCCACCCCAGGGGCACAGCCUGCCCCAUCCCCAUCCGCCCCAGGGGCACAGCCUGCCCCAUCCCCAUCUGCCCCAGGGG